CAGUAGCCACGGUAAUACGUAGGGUGCGAGCGUUAAUCGGAAUUACUGGGCGUAAAGCGAGCGCAGGCGGUUAGAUAAGUCUGAAGUUAAAGGCUGUGGCUUAACCAUAGUACGCUUUGGAAACUGUUUAACUUGAGUGCAAGAGGGGAGAGUGGAAUUCCAUGUGUAGCGGUGAAAUGCGUAGAUAUAUGGAGGAACACCGGUGGCGAAAGCGGCUCUCUGGCUUGUAACUGACGCUGAGGCUCGAAAGUGUGGGGAGCAAACAGGAUUAGAUACCCGGGUAGUCCCUGUCUCUUAUACA
rnacentral:rRNA from 1 species